GUUCCGACCCGCACGAAUGGCGUAACGAUGGCCACACUGUCUCCUCCAGAGACUCAGCGAAAUUGAAGUGUUUGUGAAGAUACAAUCUCCCCGCGGCUAGACGGAAAGACCCCAUGAACCUUUACUGCAGCUUUGCAUUGGACUUUGACGGGACAUGUGUAGGAUAGGUGGGAGGCUGUGAAGCGGUGACGCCAGUCAUCGUGGAGCCAACCUUGAAAUACCACCCUUGUGUCUUUGAGGUUCUAACCUGGACCCCUUAUCGGGGUCGGGGACCGUGCAUGGUAGGCAGUUUGACUGGGGCGGUCUCCUCCCAAAAGGUAACGGAGGAGCACGAAGGUUGGCUAGACACGGUCGGAAAUCGUGUUGAUAGUGCAAGGGCAUAAGCCAGCUUAACUGCGAGACCCACAAGUCGAGCAGAUGCGAAAGCAGGUCCUAGUGAUCCGGUGGUUCUGUAUGGAAGGGCCAUCGCUCAACGGAUAAAAAGGUACUCUGGAUAACAGGCUGAUUCCGCCAAGAGUUCACAUC
rnacentral:rRNA from 1 species